rnacentral:rRNA from 1 species
UACGUAGGGUGCGAGCGUUAAUCGGAAUUACUGGGCGUAAAGCGUGCGCAGGCGGUUUUGUAAGCCCGAUGUGAAAUCCCCAGGCUCAACCUGGGAACUGCAUCCGAUACUGGAUGGCUUGAAUUCGGGAGAGGGAUGCAGAAUUCCAGGUGUAGCGGUGAAAUGCGUAGAUAUCUGGAGGAAUACCGGUGGCGAAGGCGGCAUCCUGGACCGACAUUGACGCUGAUGAGCGAAAGCUAGGGGAGCAAACGGG